rnacentral:rRNA from 1 species
AGUUUGAAUCCUGGCUCAGAUUGAACGCUGGCGGCAGGCCUAACACAUGCAAGUCGAACGGUAGCACAGAGAGCUUGCUCUCGGGUGACGAGUGGCGGACGGGUGAGUAAUGUCUGGGAAACUGCCUGAUGGAGGGGGAUAACUACUGGAAACGGUAGCUAAUACCGCAUAAUGUCGCAAGACCAAAGAGGGGGACCUUCGGGCCUCUUGCCAUCAGAUGUGCCCAGAUGGGAUUAGCUAGUAGGUGGGGUAACGGCUCACCUAGGCGACGAUCCCUAGCUGGUCUGAGAGGAUGACCAGCCACACUGGAACUGAGACACGGUCCAGACUCCUACGGGAGGCAGCAGUGGGGAAUAUUGCACAAUGGGCGCAAGCCUGAUGCAGCCAUGCCGCGUGUAUGAAGAAGGCCUUCGGGUUGUAAAGUACUUUCAGCGGGGAGGAAGGUGUUGUGGUUAAUAACCACAGCAAUUGACGUUACCCGCAGAAGAAGCACCGGCUAACUCCGUGCCAGCAGCCGCGGUAAUACGGAGGGUGCAAGCGUUAAUCGGAAUUACUGGGCGUAAAGCGCACGCAGGCGGUCUGUCAAGUCGGAUGUGAAAUCCCCGGGCUCAACCUGGGAACUGCAUUCGAAACUGGCAGGCUAGAGUCUUGUAGAGGGGGGUAGAAUUCCAGGUGUAGCGGUGAAAUGCGUAGAGAUCUGGAGGAAUACCGGUGGCGAAGGCGGCCCCCUGGACAAAGACUGACGCUCAGGUGCGAAAGCGUGGGGAGCAAACAGGAUUAGAUACCCUGGUAGUCCACGCCGUAAACGAUGUCGAUUUGGAGGUUGUGCCCUUGAGGCGUGGCUUCCGGAGCUAACGCGUUAAAUCGACCGCCUGGGGAGUACGGCCGCAAGGUUAAAACUCAAAUGAAUUGACGGGGGCCCGCACAAGCGGUGGAGCAUGUGGUUUAAUUCGAUGCAACGCGAAGAACCUUACCUGGUCUUGACAUCCACAGAACUUUCCAGAGAUGGAUUGGUGCCUUCGGGAACUGUGAGACAGGUGCUGCAUGGCUGUCGUCAGCUCGUGUUGUGAAAUGUUGGGUUAAGUCCCGCAACGAGCGCAACCCUUAUCCUUUGUUGCCAGCGGUUAGGCCGGGAACUCAAAGGAGACUGCCAGUGAUAAACUGGAGGAAGGUGGGGAUGACGUCAAGUCAUCAUGGCCCUUACGACCAGGGCUACACACGUGCUACAAUGGCGCAUACAAAGAGAAGCGACCUCGCGAGAGCAAGCGGACCUCAUAAAGUGCGUCGUAGUCCGGAUUGGAGUCUGCAACUCGACUCCAUGAAGUCGGAAUCGCUAGUAAUCGUAGAUCAGAAUGCUACGGUGAAUACGUUCCCGGGCCUUGUACACACCGCCCGUCACACCAUGGGAGUGGGUUGCAAAAGAAGUAGGUAGCUUAACCUUCGGGAGGGCGCUUACCACUUUGUGAUUCAUGACUGGGGUGAAGUCGUA